rnacentral:rRNA from 1 species
UAGGGAAUCUUCCGCAAUGGGCGAAAGCCUGACGGAGCAACGCCGCGUGAGUGAUGAAGGUCUUCGGAUCGUAAAACUCUGUUAUUAGGGAAGAACAAAUGUGUAAGUAACUAUGCACGUCUUGACGGUACCUAAUCAGAAAGCCACGGCUAACUACGUGCCAGCAGCCGCGGUAAUACGUAGGUGGCAAGCGUUAUCCGGAAUUAUUGGGCGUAAAGCGCGCGUAGGCGGUUUUUUAAGUCUGAUGUGAAAGCCCACGGCUCAACCGUGGUGUGUCAAUGGAAACUGGAAAACUUGAGUGCAGAAGAGGAAAGUGGAAUUCCAUGUGUAGCGGUGAAAUGCGCAGAGAUAUGGAGGAACACCAGUGGCGAAGGCGACUUUCUGGUCUGUAACUGACGCUGAUGUGCGAAAGCGUGUGGAUCAAACAGG